rnacentral:misc_RNA from 1 species
GAUGAAGAACGUAGCGAAAUGCGAUAAGUAAUGUGAAUUGCAGAAUUCCGUGAAUCAUCGAAUCUUUGAACGCAUAUUGCGCCCUCUGGUAUUCCGGAGGGCAUGCCUGUCCGAGCGUCAUUACUAUCUUCAAGCACGGCUUGGUGGUUGAGCCAAUUGUCCUUUUAAUGGACAGGCUUAAAAUCCAGUGGCGAUGCGGAGUCCUGGUGCCCGAGCGUAUGGAGCUCUGUCACACGCUUUAGUGGUCUAGCCGGCAUUUUCGUCGAUUCAACCUUAAGAAAAACCUAAGAUUUGACCUCGGAUCAGGUAAGGAUACCCGCUGAACUUAAGCAUAUCAAUAAGCGGAGGA